rnacentral:rRNA from 1 species
GCUUGCUCCUGCUGACGAGUGGCGAACGGGUGAGUAAUGCAUCGGAACGUGCCGAAUAGUGGGGGAUAACGCACCGAAAGGUGUGCUAAUACCGCAUACGCCCUGAGGGGGAAAGUGGGGGACCGCAAGGCCUCACGCUAAUCGAGCGGCCGAUGUCGGAUUAGCUAGUUGGUGGGGUAAAGGCUCACCAAGGCGACGAUCCGUAGCGGGUCUGAGAGGAUGAUCCGCCACACUGGGACUGAGACACGGCCCAGACUCCUACGGGAGGCAGCAGUGGGGAAUUUUGGACAAUGGGGGAAACCCUGAUCCAGCCAUGCCGCGUGUCUGAAGAAGGCCUUCGGGUUGUAAAGGACUUUUGUCCGGGAGGAAACCCUGAUCGUUAAUAGCGGUCGGGACUGACAGUACCGGAAGAAUAAGCACCGGCUAACUACGUGCCAGCAGCCGCGGUAAUACGUAGGGUGCAAGCGUUAAUCGGAAUUACUGGGCGUAAAGCGUGCGCAGGCGGUGAGAUAAGUCAGCUGUGAAAGCCCCGGGCUCAACCUGGGAACUGCGGCCGAAACUGUCUCGCUAGAGUACGUCAGAGGGGGGUGGAAUUCCACGUGUA